rnacentral:rRNA from 1 species
GACGAACGCUGGCGGCGUGCCUAACACAUGCAAGUCGAACGGGGUUACGGGAGCUUGCUCCUGUAACUUAGUGGCGAACGGGUGAGUAACGCGUGAGGAACCUGCCUUUCAGUGGGGGACAACAGUUGGAAACGACUGCUAAUACCGCAUAAUGUAUCUGGACCGCAUGGUCUGAUACCAAAGCUUUAUGUGCUGAAAGAUGGCCUCGCGUCUGAUUAGAUAGCUGGUGGGGUAACGGCCCACCAAGUCGACGAUCAGUAGCCGGUCUGAGAGGAUGAACGGCCACAUUGGGACUGGGAUACGGCCCAGACUCCUACGGGGGGCAGCAGUGGGGAAUAUCGGGCAAUGGGGGAAACCCUGACCCAGCAACGCCGCGUGAAGGAAGAAGGCUCUCGGGUUGUAAACUUCUUUUAGCAGGGACGAAGGACGUGACGGUACCUGCAGAAAAAGCAACGGCUAACUACGUGCCAGCAGCCGCGGUAAUAC